rnacentral:rRNA from 1 species
CACGUAGGGCGCGAGCGUUGUUCGGAAUUACUGGGCGUAAAGCGUGUGUAGGCGGCUUCGCAAGUCGGAUGUGAAAGCCCCGGGCUCAACCCGGGAAGUGCACUCGAUACUGCGGAGCUAGAGUGUCGGAGAGGUUGGUGGAAUUCUCGGUGUAGAGGUGAAAUUCGUAGAUAUCGAGAGGAACACCGGUGGCGAAGGCGGCCAACUGGACGAACACUGACGCUGAGACACGAAAGCGUGGGGAGCAAACAGG